AAAAAAAAAUAAACUAUAGACGAAUCACUAUAAACGCACAAUCACAGAUAUCGCAACUAAUACUGCUGAAGAUACCGCUACAGAUGUCAGUGAAGAUACCGCGCGCUCGAUGUUGCCAAAGGUACCGUGCCCGAUGCUGCCGAAGGUACCGCGCACUCGAUGCUGCUGAAGAUACCACCCACUCAAAAUGGCGACCAACACAUAUAUAUAUGUCCUCUUUUCUUUCCCCCCAGAGAAAGAUGAGUAUCCCUGUCUUUUCACCACUCAGAUAUCGCCAAUUCUCCGUAUACUCAUUUUUCUCCAUUGUUCUAUUGCAAGGACAGUAUACAUUGGACUAAACGAUCGAUCCAGCAGUCAAAGAU
rnacentral:lncRNA from 1 species